AAAUCGUAUGAGACAGAAGGGAGUAGGGAAAUGCAGACGGAGCCACCUUUCUUCUCCAACACGUUGAUGACCUGGAGUCGACUCCAAUUUUCGAUGAGUUGCCCACGGCCAAAAUCGUGUCCGUUUCUCGGCCUGACGCUACCGAUAUUAGUCCAGCACUCCUUUCUUACACCAUCGAGUUCCAAUACAAAUAGUUGCAUAAGAAAGCUGCACAAGUGUUUUAUUUACAUUUCGCUUUGAAGAGGCGAACAUUUAUAGAGGAAGUUCAGGAGAAACAGGAACAGGUA